AGCUGGAGUUACUAGUAAUCGCAGAUCAGAAUGCUGUGGUGAAUGCGUUCCCGGGUCUUGUACACACCGCCCGUCACACCACGGAAGUUGGGGGCGCCCGAAGCCACUUAGCUUAACCCUUUUGGGAAGCGAGUGUCGAAGGUGAAAUCAAUAACUGGGUGAAGUCGUAACAAGGUAAC
rnacentral:rRNA from 1 species